rnacentral:rRNA from 1 species
GGGUUGUGAGGUUAAGCGACUAAGCGUACACGGUGGAUGCCCUGGCAGUCAGAGGCGAUGAAGGACGUGCUAAUCUGCGAUAAGCGCCGGUAAGGUGAUAUGAACCGUUAUAACCGGCGAUUUCCGAAUGGGGAAACCCAGUGUGACUCGUCACACUAUCAUUAACUGAAUCCAUAGGUUAAUGAGGCGAACCGGGGGAACUGAAACAUCUAAGUACCCCGAGGAAAAGAAAUCAACCGAGAUUCCCCCAGUAGCGGCGAGCGAACGGGGAGGAGCCCAGAGCCUGAAUCAGCAUGUGUGUUAGUGGAAGCGUCUGGAAAGGCGCGCGAUACAGGGUGACAGCCCCGUACACAAAAGCGCAUGUGCUGUGAGCUCGAUGAGUAGGGCGGGACACGUGGUAUCCUGUCUGAAUAUGGGGGGACCAUCCUCCAAGGCUAAAUACUCCUGACUGACCGAUAGUGAACCAGUACCGUGAGGGAAAGGCGAAAAGAACCCCGGCGAGGGGAGUGAAAAAGAACCUGAAACCGUGUACGUACAAGCAGUGGGAGCCCCACCACUAAGCCAGUGGUGAACUCCACAUACGCAUCCUUUGCUGAGGAUACGGUUAACGGAGCGAAAGCGACGUUCAACCUCAAAAGAAGCAGAGGGGGCUUAGUGGUGGGGUGACUGCGUACCUUUUGUAUAAUGGGUCAGCGACUUAUAUUCUGUAGCAAGGUUAACCGCAUAGGGGAGCCGUAGGGAAACCGAGUCUUAACCGGGCGUUAAGUUGCAGGGUAUAGACCCGAAACCCGGUGAUCUAGCCAUGGGCAG